rnacentral:rRNA from 1 species
CCUACGGGUGCAGCAGUCGAGAAUCAUUCACAAUGGGGGAAACCCUGAUGGUGCGACGCCGCGUGGGGGAAUGAAGGUCUUCGGAUUGUAAACCCCUGUAAUGUGGGAGCAAAUUAAAAAGAUAGUACCACAAGAGGAAGAGACGGCUAACUCUGUGCCAGCAGCCGCGGUAAUACAGAGGUCUCAAGCGUUGUUCGGAAUCACUGGGCGUAAAGCGUGCGUAGGCUGUUUCGUAAGUCGUGUGUGAAAGGCGCGGGCUCAACCCACGGACGGCACAUGAUACUGCGAGACUAGAGUAAGGGAGGGGGAACCGGAAGUCUCGGUGUAGCAGUGAAAUGCGUAGAUAUCGAGAGGAACACUCGUGGCGAAGGCGGGUUCCUGGACAUUAACUGACGCUGAGGCACGAAGGCCAGGGGAGCGAAAGGGAUUAGAUACCCGAGUAGUC